AUGGAGCUGGCGACGCGCGAUCUCGCGGCGCUGGGCGCGGCGGACCUGGUCCGGGUCUCCGCCGCGAUCCCGCGCGCCGCGCCGCGCACCUUCGCGCUGCUCACCGCCUGCCUCGUCUUCCCGCUCUCCUUCGCCGUGCUGGCGCACUCCCUCUUCACCCACCCCAUCCUCCGCCGCAUCCGCACCUCCGACUACACCGCCACCUCCGCGCAGUGGGUCGCCCUCUUCGCCUACCAGUUCCUCUACCUCAUCUUCCUCUUCACCUUCUCGCUCCUCUCCACCGCCGCCGCCGUCUUCACCGUCGCCUCCCUCUACGCCGCCAAGCCUGCCUCCAUCGCCUCCUCGCUCUCCGCGCUGCCGCCCAUCCUGCCCCGCCUCCUCCGCACCUUCCUCUGGGUCUCGCUCCUCAUGCUCGCCUACCACGUCGGCUUCGUCCUCACCGUCGUCCUCCUCAUCCUCCUCUUCGACCCGCCCAUGACCGCCUCCACCCCGCCGCCCCUCUCCUUCCUCCUCGCCCUCCUCGCCGUCGCCUUCCUCUUCCUCGCCAUCCACGUCUACAUCUCCGCGCUCUGGCACCUCGCCAGCGUCAUCUCCGUGCUCGAGCCCCUCUGCGGCCUCGCCGCCAUGUCCAAGAGCAGGCAGCUCCUCCAGGGCCGCACCCGCACCGCCGCCGUCCUCGUUUUCUCCUACUUCGCCAUCUGCGGCCUCAUCACGGGGAUGUUCCGUUCGGCCGUCGUCAAGGCGCGGGGCGAGGAGGGGAGCCUCGACAUGAGCUUGGCCGGCCGGAUAGGCGUCGGCGCUCUGCUCGUCUCUGUUCUCGUCUGUGUCAAUCUCUUGGGGCUGCUCGCGCAGAGCGUCUUCUACUACGCCUGCAAGGCCUACCACAACCAGGAGAUCGACAGGACCGCGCUGUACGAGCACCUCGGCGGCUACCUUGGCGAGUAUGUGCCGCUCAAGAGCAAUAUCCAGAUGGAGAACCUGUGA
rnacentral:rRNA from 1 species